rnacentral:misc_RNA from 1 species
AGCAGCCGCGGUAAUUCCAGCUCCAAUAGCGUAUAUUAAAGUUGUUGCAGUUAAAAGCUCGUAGUUGAAUUUCGGGGUUAGUAGGUUGGUCAUGCCUCUGGUAUGUACUGGUCUCACUGAUUCCUCCUUCCUGAUGAACCUUAAUGCCAUUAAUUUGGUGUUUUGGGGAAUUUGGACUGUUACUUUGAAAAAUUAGAGUGUUUAAAGCAAGCUAACGCUUGAAUACAUUAGCAUGGAAUAAUGAAAUAGGACGUUCGAUCCUAUUUUGUUGGUUUCUAGGAUUGACGUAGUGAUUAAUAGGGAUAGUUGGGGGCAUUAGUAUUCAAUUGUCAGAGGUGAAAUUCUUGGAUUUAUUGAAGACUAACUACUGCGAAAGCAUUUGCCAAGGAUGUUUUCAUUAAUCAAGAACGAAAGUUAGGGAUCGAAGACGAUCAGAUACCGUCGUAGUCUUAACCAUAAACUAUGCCGACUAGGGAUCGGAUGAUGUUAAUUUUUAAUGUACUCUAUUCGGCGUCCUUAC